GACGAACGCUGGCGGCGUGCUUAACACAUGCAAGUCGAACGGAAAGGCCCUGCUUUUGUGGGGGGCUCGAGUGGCGAAGGGGUGAGUAACACGUGAGUAACCUGCCCUUGACUGUGGGAUAACUUCAGGAAACUGGGGCUAAUACCGGAUAGGAGCUCCUGCUGCGUGGGGGGGGUUGGAAAGUUUCGGCGGUUGGGGAUGGACUCGCGGCUUAUCAGCUUGUUGGUGGGGUAGUGGCUUACCAAGGCUUUGACGGGUAGCCGGCCUGAGAGGGUGACCGGCCACAUUGGGACUGAGAUACGGCCCAGACUCCUACGGGAGGCAGCAGUGGGGAAUAUUGCACAAUGGGCGGAAGCCUGAUGCAGCAACGCCGCGUGCGGGAUGACGGCCUUCGGGUUGUAAACCGCUUUCGCCUGUGACGAAGCGUGAGUGACGGUAAUGGGUAAAGAAGCACCGGCUAACUACGUG
rnacentral:rRNA from 1 species